UUCUCAUAGUCAAUGGGAAUACAUUUCAUCC
rnacentral:piRNA from 1 species